GUAAAAGUGCGCCAUAGGCGGGUAUCUUAAAAAUCGUUUGGGAUACUUGCCUGUGGUGCAUUUUUACUUAUUUAGAUAUCAAGAUAAUGCACAUGCUGGGAGCUAGUCUGAUCUUUUUUAAUUGAGGUAUCAUAUUGUUCUAAAGAGAAGGCUGCUUGGAAGUCUUCCAAAUUACUAGAUUUCGACCAUACAAUUAGGAUAUUGUCAACAUAUCUAAUAAAGCUCACAAACCAGGGUCAAAAUCUCAGUAACACUUUAUUCUCCAAUUCUCUAAGUAUUAUCUCAGCCAAAGGUGUGGCUAAUAGACUUCCUAUAGGAACACCUUUUGUUUGUUGGUAAUAAACUCAUUGGAAAGUAAAAUAAGAACUGUAACAAAGCAUGUGAGCAAUGUCCCUUAAAACUUUCUCUCCUUUUAUCAAAUGGGAGGUUUUCAACAAUAAAUCUAUACAGGGCCAGAUAAACUGGCUCUAACUUUAAAGAAGGGUAAAGGCUAUCGUAAUCAAACACAGACAUAACAUAGUGUGGUUGCGAUGUUAUCAUUCUAAUCCUAUUCAAGGCUUCUUCUGUAAUGGUGGUGGAAUUCUCAUUCUGGCCUAAUAUUGUCAAACACCAACUGGCUAUAGCUUUCUCUAAAUUAAGAGUAGGAGUGCUUCAUUUUUCGACUAUGGAUCGAGGCUUAACCAGCUGUUUGUGUGUCUUCAUAUAUGCAAAGAGCCGAGGACACCUUGAUGCUUGUAUUUUCGCAUGCUUCCAUUCUUGGGGAAAGAGCCUGUUAGAGGUUAAUUUAUCUAGGGAGGCCUUGAGUUGAAAGGUUGGGUCUUUCUUCAAAACUCUAGGUUGUGUUGACGCUAUAUAGUCCAGAAGAUAGGUAUCGUACAUUUGCUUCUCUAUUAAAGCCAUUCGUUUUGAUUUAUCAUCUCUGGUGAUAAUAUAUUUGUUGUCUUUUAACCAUUGUUCAGUUUUUUUCACCAAAUAGUUAAUCUUAUAGUCAUUGGUAGGCUUGGUAGAAUUUUGGUGUGUUAAUAUUUCUCGAACAUACCUCCAUCGACAUCUUUGCCUAUCAAGCUCAUUAUCGCAAGCAGAAGUUAUUACAUCUUCGACUAUCGGUAUCUCAUCAAUUGGAGACAAUUU
rnacentral:lncRNA from 1 species